rnacentral:rRNA from 1 species
UACGUAGGGGGCAAGCGUUGUCCGGAAUCAUUGGGCGUAAAGCGCGUGUAGGCGGCCAUGUAAGUCCGUUCUGAAAGCCCGGGGCUCAACCCCGGGAGGCGGAUGGAUACUGCAUGGCUCGAGUACGGAAGAGGCGAGUGGAAUUCCCGGUGUAGCGGUGAAAUGCGCAGAUAUCGGGAGGAACACCAAUGGCGAAGGCAGCUCGCUGGGACGUUACGUGACGCUGAGACGCGAAAGCGUGGGGAGCAAACAGGG